CCUACGGGAGGCAGCAGUGGGGAAUUUUGGACAAUGGGCGCAAGCCUGAUCCAGCAAUGCCGCGUGAGUGAAGAAGGCCUUCGGGUUGUAAAGCUCUUUUGUCAGGGAAGAAACGGCUGAGGCUAAUAUCCUCGGCUAAUGACGGUACCUGAAGAAUAAGCACCGGCUAACUACGUGCCAGCAGCCGCGGUAAUACGUAGGGUGCAAGCGUUAAUCGGAAUUACUGGGCGUAAAGCGUGCGCAGGCGGUUUUGUAAGUCUGUCGUGAAAGCCCCGGGCUUAACCUGGGAAUUGCGAUGGAGACUGCAAGGCUUGAAUCUGGCAGAGGGGGGUAGAAUUCCACGUGUAGCAGUGAAAUGCGUAGAGAUGUGGAGGAACACCGAUGGCGAAGGCAGCCCCCUGGGUCAAGAUUGACGCUCAUGCACGAAAGCGUGGGGAGCAAACAGGAUUAGAUACCCUGGUAGUCCACGCCCUAAACGAUGUCUACUAGUUGUCGGGUCUUAAUUGACUUGGUAACGCAGCUAACGCGUGAAGUAGACCGCCUGGGGAGUANGGUCGCAAGNUUAAAACUCAAAGGAAUUGACGG
rnacentral:rRNA from 1 species